rnacentral:rRNA from 1 species
UACGAAGGGGACUAGCGUUGUUCGGAUUUACUGGGCGUAAAGCGCACGUAGGCGGAUUUGUUAGUCAGGGGUGAAAUCCCGGGGCUCAACCUCGGAACUGCCUUUGAUACUGCAAGUCUCGAGUCCGAUAGAGGUGGGUGGAAUUCCUAGUGUAGAGGUGAAAUUCGUAGAUAUUAGGUAGAACACCGGUGGCGAAGGCGGCCCACUGGAUCGGUACUGACGCUGAGGUGCGAAAGCGUGGGGAGCAAACAGG